UCCAAGAAUCCAGCCAUUCCAGAAAGC
rnacentral:piRNA from 1 species